GGGCUGGGAAGCGCAUAAUUAUGAUAUCAUUCACAGAUCUACUCCAUCCUGCUUCAGUACCAGAAAGUGAGAGGCAACAGCUCAGUAAAACAUUUUGCAUUGGAAGGAGGACCAUUUCAUCAGCAAUAAGACUUGGUGGCCUUGGAUAGAUGGGCUUUAUUCAGCAUUCAGAAGAGGAACUUGAACUGCCUGCAUCUGCCCCAUUAUAUUGUCUAUAUGCAGUAAAACCACAGUGUCUAACAGCUGCUGGUGUUAGGAUUAAGGGAAAAUAUAAUUUGAUGCAGUGGCACGUGUGUCAUGAUUUCUGCUGUAGCUUCUACCAGC